CACCCACCUCACAGGGUGUUUGUUGUGAGGGGGGAAGGGCAAGGAGAUUGUAAGCCCCUUUGAGUCUCCUGCAGGAGAGAAAGGGGGGAUAUAAAUCCAAACUCUUCUUCUUCUUAACAGGCAUGCAUGACGCUGACAGGGAAAAGGCUGGAGAUAUUAGGUAUGUGCAGAAAAGAAGUGGUGUAGCUGGGGGGGGGGAGGGUGCAUGGAGCCCCGGGCACCACUUUCGAUGAUCUUGUGGGAGGGCACACUGCACGCCUCUCCUCAACUGUACCUCUUCUCCAAACUCCCCGUGGAGCAGGGUAGCUGAGGUGGGCGGCGCCCUAGACGCUGGUCCCUGCAGAAAGGCAUAUGGUUCGCCACCACUGUGGUAGAGUGACCAACUUGUGGAAACAGUUAACAAGAACAUAGCAAGUAUAGAAAUGCUGUGCUGGAAUUUCUUAAGUGGAGGUUUUUAAAAAAGCAGGGCAGGCUGGCUGCUGAACUGAAACUUCUGUGAUUCAUAGAACAAGUCUAGACCUACCACAUCAAGCCAGCUUGAUGGUAGGUUUGCACAUCAAGCCAGGUAGGUUUGCACAUCAAGCCAGCUUGAUGGUAGGUUUGCACAUCAAAAUUUGCUAAUUGAAACCUCAAGCAAAGAAACACAGAAACUCACCUCUGCUGUCCUUACCAAGUAGGACGUUAGAGACGGGCAAGAGGGAAACCUCAACCAAACAAUGUUUUGCUCUGCAAUUUAGCUUUUGCCAUAAGAGAAGAAAGGGGGAACGCUUGGUUCUAGCAUUGGGUGAUUUUAAUUUAAUUUGUGGCAGGCUUGUAUAAAAUAAAAAUAAUUUAUA